AGUGAACGCUGGCGGCAGGCCUAAUACAUGCAAGUCGAACGGCAGCACAGCAGAGCUUGCUCUGUGGGUGGCGAGUGGCGGACGGGUGAGGAAUACAUGGGAAUCUGCCCGGUCGUGGGGGAUAACGUAUGGAAACGUACGCUAAUACCGCAUGCGCCCUUUGGGGGAAAGCCGGGGACCUUCGGGCCUGGCGCGAUUGGAUGAGCCCAUGUUCGAUUAGCUAGUUGGCGGGGUAAAGGCCCACCAAGGCGACGAUCGAUAGCUGGUCUGAGAGGAUGAUCAGCCACACUGGGACUGAGACACGGCCCAGACUCCUACGGGAGGCAGCAGUAGGGAAUAUUGGGCAAUGGGCGCAAGCCUGAUCCAGCCAUGCCGCGUGAGUGAAGAAGGCCCUCGGGUUGUAAAGCUCUUUUGUCCGGAAAGAAAAGCAUUCGGUUAAUACCCGGGUGUUCUGACGGUACCGGAAGAAUAAGCACCGGCUAACUUCGUG
rnacentral:rRNA from 1 species